GGAUCCGUGGCUCAACGGUAGAGCAACCGCCUCUUGAGCGGAAGUGUGGAGGUUCGAUUCCUCCCGGAUCCA
rnacentral:tRNA from 1 species